rnacentral:SRP_RNA from 1 species
GCCAGGCGUGGUGGCGGGUGCCUGUAGUCCCAGCUACUGGGGAGGCUGAGGCAGGAGAAUGGUGUGAACCUGGGAGGCGGAGCUUGCAGUGAGUUGAGAUCGCGUCACUGCACUCCAACCUGGGGGACAGAGCGAGACUCUGUCUCAAAAAAAAGAAAAAAAAAAAAGAAAAAUGGUCUCGUUAACUUUCACUUUUUUUUGAGACGGAGUCUUGCUCUGUCGCCCAGGGUGGAGUGUAGUGGCGCAAUCUCGCUCACUGCAGCCUCCGCCUCCUGGGUUCAAACAAUUCUCCUGCCUCAG